CGGAACUUCACCUUACCAUUGGAAGAAUUUUACAACUUUCGGUUUAUGGGAAGUUCAGCUUUAAUCCUCGGACUGGCGUGGUUUGGCGUAGGCGUUACGAUGAUCUACGGUGUAUUUAAGGAAAACACGAAAUUUCUCUACCCGCUGCCGAUUUUGUACAUGGCCGAGUUGUUUGUGCUGUUCUCCAGGGACGUAGUGAUGGUUUGGAGGAGCGAACCCUCGUACAAGAUUGCUUUCCUAGAUCCCAUAGCGACGCUGGUUAUACUGUGUAAGUUUAAUUCGAAUUUUGUAGUGUUGAAGUGUUGGUCCCAACAUAAUCUUCCAGAUGUUACCUUGCACAUCCUAAUGAGCGUAGUGGCU